GGUGAGUGGGGCAGAGCUGAGGAAGAGAGCAGAGGCUUCAGGACCUCUCCAGAGCUCUGACUCCCCACACUGCUGACCCAGCGCUUCCUCAGUAGCCAGUGUCUCCCCAGAAGGAGAGAGAGUAGAGAAGACCCGUGGAGAAGAGCCUAAAAGGGUGAAGAAGGAUUUUCAUUAUGAAGUUAAUUAGCUUCAGAGCUGCUGCACCUUUCAGGACGAGGAAUUAGAGGGAUUUAAUUGCUUUAUCAGCCUUCCCUUUGAUUUUCAGCAAUCAGGCCGAUUCCAUUUAAUUUAACUGCCACAGACGAGGAGAAAAUUGAUGCGCUCACCUGCCUCGGAGCAGAACGAGAGAGAGCGGGGAAGAGGGAGAGAGAGAGAGCCAGCGAGACUGGCAAACACAGAGUCUGCAGAUUAAUGAAAACCAACAGCAUUUGCUCACAAUUGGAGAUGAAGUGUGCCCUGGAGGUGUUUGGAGCUGUGUGCACCGCUGUGUGGUUUUGUGUGAGCUUGCGUGUUGGGUCGUGUGGGAGUUUGUGACUGUGCAUGUUUGCAUGGGUGUGCCGGAGCGUGAGGUGAGGAUGCGGGGAAUGCUGGCAUUUGGCCACAGGCAACCGAAAGCCACCUGGCUCUGAUGCCACCUUCCGGCUCUGAUGCCGCCUUCCCCCUCCGGGCCUCAGCCCAUGGCUGAGUAACUGAAGGUGCCCAGGUGCUCAGCCUGGUGUGCAACAUGGAGACGAUAUGUUUCUUCCUUAACACCAGCAGCCCUGUGAGGAGGGUGGCCGGCUACUGGAGUCUGCGGACAGCGUCCAGCCCACACAGAGCCCCGCUGGAGCUCCUGCACCUGCAGCCUGCCUUUUCCAUAGCCAGUUGGCUUUGUGGACAUCGUUAAGCUCACGGGCAUGAGUUGCCCUCCAUCCCAGUGCACCAGGGAUGGUCGAUUUGUGAAACAAACCCACACAUUUUUCACACUUUCCUCCUGCAUUCCUUUCUGUUGCUUUGACCAUGGUUUCUAGGAGGCCCACAUUUUGCCCUUGCCAGUUAACAAGUUUCAUAUCUUCUGAUGGUCAGAGGAGCCUGCAGAUCAUUAAGAGAAGCUGGAAUUAGAGCUGAGGAGAGCAUUAUGGAGAAAAAAAUGAAACAAAACAAAAAACUGCAGACAUCUCUGUCUGCACUCACACACUUCUGCUCUUCCAGCGCCUUCUCCAUGUGGACCCUGGUUCUCAGUGAAGCUGGCCUGGUUUCUGCUUUGCAUGCAGGCUCCCCUUGCACUGUUGAUACUGCAGCUCCAGGCAAAGAGCGAGCUCGGUGCAGCGAGGACGCCUCUGCCAGGUGCACCCCAAAUCUCCCGGGCCUGGUGCGAUGGGCUGGGACGCAGAAAGUACUCCGUGGAACGGAGCCCAACAGUUGUGUCAGCGGGGGACAAUUAGGAACAGCACCUGCCCUGGGAUCGCUCCCAGCCGAAGCCUCCUCUGGUCCGCUCCCCGCGGCUCCUUCCGUGCUUCGCUCCGAAGCUUCUACCGGUCCGCUCUCCGCGGCUCCUUCCGGGCUUCUACUUCCCCCCAGGGGUGGCACCAGUAUAUAUACGGAUACAGUGUCCAAUCAUAUUAAAGGAGAGAAGAAGGAUGAAGAGGAGGUGCCAGCCUGGAGCAUACCAGGAAGCCCCUGCGAGGUCAGAGCGGAGGGCAGGGGCUGGCUCCUGGACUCAGGGGCUCCUGAGCUACAGGGGGCUCUGCGGCAGCUGCAUACUGGGUGCUGGGUCUUCAUGCAGAGAGGUCACCUAUCGGUACUGUUGAAUAAGAAAAGCAAGCUUAUAACUCCCUCCCCCCUUUUUAAAGGAAAAUUAAAAGUUUAAUAAGAUGAAGACAAGAUUCCCCACGAACACCUCCCUGUGUAUAUUUGGACUGUUUAUAGGACUCAAUGUAAAUAAGAAUCUCAGUGCUGAAGAGUUUAAAAAAUAAAUUACUGUAUCUUUCCUUUUUAUUGUAGUAAAACACAAUAAACUUACCAUUUUAACCA